rnacentral:rRNA from 1 species
GCAGUCGCCGCGGUAAUACGUAGGGUGCGAGCGUUAAUCGGAAUUACUGGGCGUAAAGCGUGCGCAGGCGGUUCGUUAAGACAGAUGUGAAAUCCCCGGGCUUAACCUGGGAACUGCAUUUGUGACUGGCGAGCUAGAGUAUGGCAGAGGGGGGUAGAAUUCCACGUGUAGCAGUGAAAUGCGUAGAGAUGUGGAGGAAUACCGAUGGCGAAGGCAGCCCCCUGGGCCAAUACUGACGCUCAUGCACGAAAGCGUGGGGAGCAAACAGGAUUAGAUACCCGAGUAGUCCCUGUCUCUUAUAC